rnacentral:rRNA from 1 species
ACAGUGGGGAAUUUUGGACAAUGGGCGAAAGCCUGAUCCAGCAAUGCCGCGUGCAGGAUGAAGGCCUUCGGGUUGUAAACUGCUUUUGUACGGAACGAAAAGCUUUGGGUUAAUACCCUGGAGUCAUGACGGUACCGUAAGAAUAAGCACCGGCUAACUACGUGCCAGCAGCCGCGGUAAUACGUAGGGUGCAAGCGUUAAUCGGAAUUACUGGGCGUAAAGCGUGCGCAGGCGGUUUUGUAAGACAGAGGUGAAAUCCCCGGGCUCAACCUGGGAACUGCCUUUGUGACUGCAAGGCUAGAGUACGGCAGAGGGGGGUGGAAUUCCGCGUGUAGCAGUGAAAUGCGUAGAUAUGCGGAGGAACACCGAUGGCGAAGGCAACCCCCUGGGCCUGUACUGACGCUCAUGCACGAAAGCGUGGGGAGCAAACAGGAUUAGAUACCCUGGUA